rnacentral:rRNA from 1 species
CAGCCGCCGCGGGAAUACGGAGGGUGCAAGCGUUAUCCGGAUUUAUUGGGUUUAAAGGGUCCGUAGGCGGACUUAUAAGUCAGUGGUGAAAGCCUGUCGCUUAACGAUAGAACUGCCAUUGAUACUGUAAGUCUUGAGUAUAUUUGAGGUAGCUGGAAUAAGUAGUGUAGCGGUGAAAUGCAUAGAUAUUACUUAGAACACCAAUUGCGAAGGCAGGUUACCAAGAUAUAACUGACGCUGAGGGACGAAAGCGUGGGUAGCGAACAGGAUUAGAUACCCCUGUAGUCCCUGUCUCUUAUAC